rnacentral:antisense_RNA from 1 species
UUAUGGUUCCACGCUGUCAGAAGGGUCAUCCUGGCUUAGGAGAGGGGCAGAAGGGGAAAUGCACGCGUGGAAACAGGACUGGGCAGGGAGGAUGUGACACUGUCCUCCUCACCAGGCCACGUUCCUGGCACCAACCAUAGUGUUUGGGCAGAUAAGAAAAGAAACAAUUUGCUGAAACUCCCUCUGCUUAUAACAAAACUGACUGAAAUCAGCUGGAAUCAAUAUGGCCAAAUGCAGUUUGCACACAGCAAGCUUGCUGAUGUCACAGCCUGAAUUUCUACCGCAUGUUUCAUAUGAACUCCCUCCAAAUUUGCGCAUAGGACCUAUGAGGAAGCAUGAAGAGAGAGCCAUCCAUGCCAGAAGACUUCCCAGAUGUUCCCUUUGCUUCCACCAAUUACCUGCUAACCCCAGGAUCCAACCCUAAACCUUCUGUAAUAAAAUUACUGCCUUAAAGCCAGUACAAGAAGACAGGUUUGAACCGGACUCCUGUUUCCUCAGAAGUUAACUUGCAAUGUGAAGCUUUUCUUUUCUCAAAAACCUGGUGUCAUAGUGUUGGCUUCUAGUGCAGUGAGCCCCUUUUGCUGCAUAACACUACCUGGUAAUUUGACAUACCAGGUGGUUAGUAACUACUGACUGCCUCCAGGUUGCAACACAAUUAUUACCCACUUGGGUGAAAAGAGAAGACAGGAAAUAAAUAUUGGAGUCGGCUGGCAACCUGUUUACAAAGCAAUUUACAACAGUUCCUUAUUCUUAAGGGGUUAUUCUAAUGUAAGACCUCAGAGAAACAGUGCAGUGUGACAAAGGAGGAAUUUAUCAAAGGAGACAGAAAAAGCAUCAAGGCAAGCUGUGAAAUGGUGCAGUAGGAACC